UGGGGAAUUUUGGACAAUGGGGGAAACCCUGAUCCAGCCAUCCCGCGUGUGCGAUGAAGGCCUUCGGGUUGUAAAGCACUUUUGGCAGGAAAGAAACGUCGCGGGUUAAUACCCCGCGAAACUGACGGUACCUGCAGAAUAAGCACCGGCUAACUACGUGCCAGCAGCCGCGGUAAUACGUAGGGUGCAAGCGUUAAUCGGAAUUACUGGGCGUAAAGCGUGCGCAGGCGGUUCGGAAAGAAAGAUGUGAAAUCCCAGAGCUUAACUUUGGAACUGCAUUUUUAACUACCGGGCUAGAGUGUGUCAGAGGGAGGUGGAAUUCCGCGUGUAGCAGUGAAAUGCGUAGAUAUGCGGAGGAACACCGAUGGCGAAGGCAGCCUCCUGGGAUAACACUGACGCUCAUGCACGAAAGCGUGGGGAGCAAACAGGAUUAGAUACCCUGGUAGUCCACGCCCUAAACGAUGCCAACUAGCUGUUGGGGCCUUCGGGCCUUGGUAGCGCAGCUAACGCGUGAAGUUGACCGCCUGGGGAGUACGGUCGCAAGAUUAAAACUUAAA
rnacentral:rRNA from 1 species